ensembl:lncRNA
GUGUGACCAACAGAACAGGGCACUAGUGAUCGUCACUUCUGAGGUUAGGUUAUGAAAGGCUGCAGCUUCCAUUUUAGGUUUUCCUUCUGGAACAGUCGCUCUUGGGGGAGCCAGCUGCCACGUCCUAAGGACACCUAGCCUGUGGAGACACCCACACGACAAGGAACUGAGGUCACCAGCCAGCAGCCAGUGGGGCAAGGAGGCUUCCUCCCUGUCAUCGAAGCAGGUCAGCCCCCAGCUCGCCUUUCUAACGGUGACAGCCUCACAGAACAGUGUGACGGCAACCUCGAGAGGCUCUGAGGCAGAAACACCCAGAGGUUAUAUGCUAAACGAAUGUUGCCUCAAAUCAAGGCUUACCCCACAGGUUCUAAAAAGGCAUCCAAGCAUAUUGCACAGAGCCUUGACCGUCUCCCUCAUUGCGGGCAGAUUCUUCACUGUCUGAGCCACCAGGGUAGCUCUGCUCCUGACAGUCUUUAGAGCUGCAUACACAGAGCGCCAGGAAUCACCAACCUGCAGAACCGGGGAACUCUCACAGCGGCUUUUGUUUUCUGGGAAAAUCGCAACUUUGUCAAAAGAUCUCUAUCCACUAAAUGGAUUUCAUGACCUUAUUGUGUUGGAACCUGCAAUUUGAAAGCAUAUGAUAUUUCACAGAAAAGUGG